rnacentral:rRNA from 1 species
UGGGGAAUUUUGGACAAUGGGCGAAAGCCUGAUCCAGCAAUGCCGCGUGUGUGAAGAAGGCCUUCGGGUUGUAAAGCACUUUUGUCCGGAAAGAAAUCCUUGGCUCUAAUACAGUCGGGGGAUGACGGUACCGGAAGAAUAAGCACCGGCUAACUACGUGCCAGCAGCCGCGGUAAUACGUAGGGUGCAAGCGUUAAUCGGAAUUACUGGGCGUAAAGCGUGCGCAGGCGGUUUGCUAAGACCGAUGUGAAAUCCCCGGGCUCAACCUGGGAACUGCAUUGGUGACUGGCAGGCUAGAGUAUGGCAGAGGGGGGUAGAAUUCCACGUGUAGCAGUGAAAUGCGUAGAGAUGUGGAGGAAUACCGAUGGCAGA